rnacentral:rRNA from 1 species
GACGAACGCUGGCGGCGUGCUUAACACAUGCAAGUCGAACGGAAAGGCCCUGCUUUUGUGGGGUGCUCGAGUGGCGAACGGGUGAGUAACACGUGAGUAACCUGCCCUUGAUUUUGGGAUAACUUCAGGAAACUGGGGCUAAUACCGGAUAGGAGCUCCUGCUGCAUGGUGGGGGUUGGAAAGUUUCGGCGGUUGGGGAUGGACUCGCGGCUUAUCAGCUUGUUGGUGGGGUAGUGGCUUACCAGGGCUUUGACGGGUAGCCGGCCUGAGAGGGUGACCGGCCACAUUGGGACUGAGAUACGGCCCAGACUCCUACGGGAGGCAGCAGUGGGGAAUAUUGCACAAUGGGCGGAAGCCUGAUGCAGCAACGCCGCGUGCGGGAUGACGGCCUUCGGGUUGUAAACCGCUUUCGCCUGUGACGAAGCGUGAGUGACGGUAAUGGGUAAAGAAGCACCGGCUAACUACGUG